CCUACGGGAGGCUGCAGUGAGGAAUAUUGGUCAAUGGGCGCGAGCCUGAACCAGCCAAGUAGCGUGAAGGAUGACUGCCCUACGGGUUGUAAACUUCUUUUAUAAAGGAAUAAAGUGAGGCACGUGUCCCGUUUUGUAUGUACCUUAUGAAUAAGGAUCGGCUAACUCCGCGCCAGCAGCCGCGGUAAUACGGAGGAUCCGAGCGUUAUCCGGAUUUAUUGGGUUUAAAGGGUGCGUAGGCGGCCUUUUAAGUCAGCGGUGAAAGUCUGUGGCUCAACCAUAGAAUUGCCGUUGAAACUGGGAGGCUUGAGUAUGUUUGAGGCAGGCGGAAUGCGUGGUGUAGCGGUGAAAUGCGUAGAUAUCACGCAGAACCCCGAUUGCGAAGGCAGCCUGCCAAGCCAUGACUGACGCUGAUGCACGAAAGCGUGGGGAUCAAACAGGAUUAGAUACCCGAGUAGUC
rnacentral:rRNA from 1 species